AAAAUGGAGAGUUUGAUCCUGGCUCAGGAUGAACGCUGGCGGUAUGCUUAACACAUGCAAGUCGAACGGAAGUCUUCGGACUUUAGUGGCGGACGGGUGAGUAACGCGUGAGAAUCUGCCUAUAGGUUGGGGACAACAGUUGGAAACGGCUGCUAAUACCCGAUGUGCCGAGAGGUAAAAGCUUUAGUGCCUGUAGAUGAGCUCGCGUCCGAUUAGCUAGUUGGUAAGGUAAAAGCUUACCAAGGCGACGAUCGGUAGCUGGUCUGAGAGGAUGAUCAGCCACACUGGGACUGAGACACGGCCCAGACUCCUACGGGAGGCAGCAGUGGGGAAUUUUCCGCAAUGGGCGAAAGCCUGACGGAGCAAUACCGCGUGCGGGACGAAGGCUUUUGGGUCGUAAACCGCUUUUGUUAGGGAAGAACACAAUGACGGUACCUAACGAAUCAGCAUCGGCUAACUCCGUGCCAGCAGCCGCGGUAAUACGGGGGAUGCAAGCGUUAUCCGGAAUUAUUGGGCGUAAAGCGUCCGCAGGUGGUUUAUCAAGUCUGCUGUCAAAUCGUGGGGCUUAACCCCAUAAGGGCAGUGGAAACUGAGAGACUAGAGUACGGUAGGGGUAGCGGGAAUUCCCAGUGUAGCGGUGAAAUGCGUAGAUAUUGGGAAGAACACCAGCGGCGAAGGCGCGCUACUGGGCCGAAACUGACACUCAUGGACGAAAGCUAGGGGAGCGAAAGGGAUUAGAUACCCCUGUAGUCCUAGCUGUAAACGAUGACAACUAGGUGUUGCGCGUAUCGACCCGUGCAGUGCCGUAGCUAACGCGUUAAGUUGUCCGCCUGGGGAGUACGCACGCAAGUGUGAAACUCAAAGGAAUUGACGGGGGCCCGCACAAGCGGUGGAGUAUGUGGUUUAAUUCGAUGCAACGCGAAGAACCUUACCUGGUCUUGACAUCCACGGAACCCUUUAGAGAUAGAGGGGUGCCUUCGGGAACCGUGAGACAGGUGCUGCAUGGCUGUCGUCAGCUCGUGUCGUGAGAUGUUGGGUUAAGUCCCGCAACGAGCGCAACCCUCGUUUCUAGUUGCCAUCAUUAAGUUGGGCACUUUAGAGAGACUGCCGGUGACAAACCGGAGGAAGGUGGGGAUGACGUCAAGUCAGCAUGCCCCUUACGCCCUGGGCUACACACGUACUACAAUGCUAUGGACAAAGAGUUGCAAGCCAGCGAUGGCAAGCUAAUCUCAUAAACCAUGGCUCAGUUCAGAUUGCAGGCUGCAACUCGCCUGCAUGAAGGAGGAAUCGCUAGUAAUCGCAGGUCAGCAUACUGCGGUGAAUACGUUCCCGGGCCUUGUACACACCGCCCGUCACACCAUGGGAGUUGGCCACGCCCGAAGUCGUUACUCCAACCGUUCGCGGAGGGGAAUGCCGAAGGCAGGGCUGAUGACUGGGGUGAAGUCGUAACAAGGUAGCCGUACCGGAAGGUGUGGCUGGAUCACCUCCUUU
rnacentral:rRNA from 1 species